rnacentral:misc_RNA from 1 species
AAGAAAUGUUUGACUUUAGCCAGUGCCUGCCAGCACGGCUUUUUUUAUUUU